UAAUACGUAGGGGGCAAGCGUUAUCCGGAAUCACUGGGCGUAAAGGGUGCGUAGGCGGCUAAGUAAGUCAGGGGUGAAAGGCAUUGGCUCAACCAAUGUAAGCCUUUGAAACUGCUUAGCUUGAGUGCAGGAGAGGUAAGUGGAAUUCCUAGUGUAGCGGUGAAAUGCGUAGAUAUUAGGAGGAACACCAGUGGCGAAGGCGACUUACUGGACUGUAACUGACGCUGAGGCACGAAAGCGUGGGGAGCAAACAGGAUUAGAUACCCUGGUAGUCCACGCCGUAAACGAUGAGUGCUAGGUGUUGGGGGUCAAACCUCAGUGCCGGAGCUAACGCAAUAAGCACUCCGCCUGGGGAGUACGCUCGCAAGAGUA
rnacentral:rRNA from 1 species